rnacentral:rRNA from 1 species
GACAGAGGGUGCAAACGUUGUUCGGAAUUACUGGGCGUAAAGCGUGCGCAGGCGGCUUUGCAAGACAGAUGUGAAAUCCCCGGGCUCAACCUGGGAACUGCAUUUGUGACUGCAUGGCUAGAGUACGGUAGAGGGGGAUGGAAUUCCGCGUGUAGCAGUGAAAUGCGUAGAUAUGCGGAGGAACACCGAUGGCGAAGGCAAUCCCCUGGACCUGUACUGACGCUCAUGCACGAAAGCGUGGGGAGCAAACAGG